GACAGAGGUGCCAAGCGUUAGGCGGAAUCACUGGGCUUAAAGCGUGUGUAGGCGGAAUGGUAAGUACCUUGUGAAAUCCCACAGCUUAACUGUGGAACUGCUUGGUAUACUGCUUUUCUUGAGCCACUUAGGGGCUACCGGAACAAAUGGUGGAGCGGUGAAAUGCGUAGAUAUCAUUUGGAACGCCAAUGGUGAAAACAGGUAGCUGGGAGUGUGCUGACGCUGAGACACGAAAGCCAGGGGAGCGAACGGG
rnacentral:rRNA from 1 species